AAAGUACUCCCUCCGUCCUAAAAUUCUUGUCUUAGAUUUGUCUAGAUACGGAUGUAUCAAGUCACAUUUUAGUAUUAGAUACAUCCGUAUCUAGACUAAUCUAAGACAAGAAAUUUGGGACAGAGGGAGUAGUUG
rnacentral:pre_miRNA from 1 species